rnacentral:rRNA from 1 species
CACGUAGGGGGCGAGCGUUGUCCGGAUUUAUUGGGCGUAAAGAGCUCGUAGGUGGCUUAGUAAGUCGGGUGUGAAACCUCCAGGCUCAACCUGGAGACGCCACCCGAUACUGCUAUAGCUUGAGUCCGGUAGGGGAGCGUGGAAUUCCUGGUGUAGCGGUGAAAUGCGCAGAUAUCAGGAGGAACACCAAUAGCGAAGGCAGCUCGCUGGGACGUUACUGACGCUGAGGAGCGAAAGCGUGGGGAGCAAACAGG